CUCAUUAAAUCCUCCAAUGGGUUCUAACUCUUCCAUGUAUUCAAUGGUUGGUCCCAUGGAUGUCUGUCACAUUGGCAACAAUGAUGAUAUGUGCUCGGUGUCCCAUGCAGCAGAAAACCUGGCUGUGGUCCUGAGAUGUGUGCCCCAUUCUAACUUGAGCCUCACUGGAGAAAAUCUGAAACUAUUGGUCACAGAGCUAUCCAAGAUACUGACAGGACCACACACAAUGAUGGUAAGAAUACUUUAUUUUCAAUCAUCAGAGAUUCAAUUAAAGUCAAGACAAAUGUCAUGUUACUGUGACAUUUGACCCAUUGUGAAAUCCUUCCCUUUUAGAAUGACAGUUCGGGUUGGCCCAACCUCACAGACUUGUUUGGCCAGCUUCCGACAGAUGGCUUCAGUGCUGAGAACCUUGGUGAUGAGAACUUCAUCACCUUCUGGUUCCUGAUCAGACUGCGGCCCCUCCUACCUUCAGUGUCAGAGGAGUACCUAUCCUGCCUCAGCACUAGAGACUUCAGCUGUCAAGCCUACCAAGCACUGUACGAACAACACAAAGACAACCACAAAUACAUUUUUCAGUUCAUAGACAUAUUUGUUUCAUCAUUUUCUUCAGUAUCAAUGUCACAUAUCCUAUUGAUAAUACCAAAAGUGUGAAUUCUGAGAUCCUGAUUUUCUCAUUACUUACAGUGUCAUGGGGCUGAGUGAUCACAUCUCAUCGAUGGAUGAGAUGAGACAGAAACUGGUCUACACACGCUUCAUUCACCCAUUCCUCACACAACACCGAUAUUCAGGUAUUUAUUUUGAUUUGGCGAUUUGUUUAACUUAGGACUGAUUUUGUAUGUCUUUUUUUCAAAUAGUGCAUUGAACUGAGUGGACAAGCUAAUACGACACAUUGCAUACUUUUCUUUCAGAUAUGAUGGGAUGUCCUUCCAAUGGGAGUUUGGAUUCAAUUAAGAGACAUUUUGGGAGAUUUUCCAUUUUCGCACCGCUACAGCACUUCUUUGAUGUGCAAAGAAACUUUUCUGCAGUAAGCAUUUACAUGACAUUCUGCCAAAUCAGAACAUUUCUAGAACUGGACGUCUUUAAGGGAUCAGGAACAUGCUACGUGAUCAGGUCUUUUAUUCAUCAGUAUUACAAUGAUGUGUGUGUCUCCUCUCUCUAUCAGCUGGAGGCCCUGCCAGCUCUCUCUCCAAAGCAGUUAGCAGAACUGGUGCUGAUGCCCCACACUCCAACUCCACAGAGAGAUGACAUCAUCAACAGAGUCUUUGACCACCUCCACAACGACACCCGACUCCGAGACUUCCUCCAUGAGCUGCAGAUGCUAAUAAGAGGGACUAGCCUUGAGUGUGAGUCUUUCACAAGAAUAUUCAACAGGCUGGACAGGGCUGCUACAUCGGCCCCAUCUGAUUUGGGACCAGUCAUCAGAGACACACAGGACUCCGUAAUGGAUGCUGCUCCUCCGGGUGAGUCAGAAUUUAGAUAUGAUCAUGUGACCAUGAGCUGUGACUCAAUGGAGUAUUUUUCCAUGUCCUGACAUCUAUUGUUGGUGUUGUCUUUACAUCAGGUUGCAACGUCGUUCCCUUUAAGUUUGGGGUGAGAAAUGUCAACAAUGUCAUUA
rnacentral:lncRNA from 1 species